ACGAACGCUGGCGGCGUGCCUAACACAUGCAAGUCGCACGCGAAAGGGGCUUCGGCUCCGAGUAAAGUGGCGCACGGGUGAGUAACACGUGGGUAACCUGCCUCUAAGAUUGGGAUAACUCGUCGAAAGAUGAGCUAAUACCGAAUAAGACCACAGUUCCCGCGGGAACAGGGGUCAAAGGUAGCCUCUGCUUGCAAGCUAUCACUUAGAGAUGGGCCUGCGCACCAUUAGCUAGUUGGUAGGGUAACGGCCUACCAAGGCAAAGAUGGUUAGCUGGUCUGAGAGGAUGAUCAGCCACACUGGAACUGAGACACGGUCCAGACUCCUACGGGAGGCAGCAGUGGGGAAUAUUGCGCAAUGGGCGAAAGCUUGACGCAGCAACGCCGCGUGAGUGAUGAAGGCCUUCGGGUCGUAAAGCUCUGUCGGGAGGAACGAAUGCUCCUGAGGUUAACAGCCUCGGGAGGUGACGGUACCUUCAAAGGAAGCACCGGCUAACUCUGUG
rnacentral:rRNA from 1 species